GAUGAACGCUGGCGGCGUGCCUAAUACAUGCAAGUCGAGCGAACAGACGAGGAGCUUGCUCCUCUGACGUUAGCGGCGGACGGGUGAGUAACACGUGGAUAACCUACCUAUAAUACUGGGAUAACUUCGGGAAAACGGAGCUAAUACCGGAUCAUAUAUUGAACCGCAUGGUUCAAUAGUGAAAGACGGUUUUGCUGUCACUUAUAGAUGGAUCCGCGCCGCAUUAGCUAGUUGGUAAGGUAACGGCCUACCAAGGCAACGAUGCGUAGCCGACCUGAGAGGGUGAUCGGCCACACUGGAACUGAGACACGGUCCAGACUCCUACGGGAGGCAGCAGUAGGGAAUAUUGCGCAAUGGGCGCAAGCCUGACGGAGCAACGCCGCGUGAGUGAUGAAGGUCUUCGGAUCGUAAAACUCUGUUAUUAGGGAAGAACAACUGUGUAAGUAACUAUGCACGUCUUGACGGUACCUAAUCAGAAAGCCCCGGCUAACUACGUG
rnacentral:rRNA from 1 species